AAGUCUACCUGCUCUGCUGGAAUUUCCUUCUCAGCCAGCAUUUCUUCUUUCCAGCAUCAGCAACUCCUUUAUCUUAACUCCAGCAAUGCUGCAUGGGAAAGGUCAGCUCCAAGCAAUACUACUUUGGGGGGCUUCUCUUUACUUAAUACUGUGUAUCUCUUAUCACUGUUGGAUGCAAUAGUGUUAGUUUCUUCUUCUUCUAAAGUAGCUUAGGAAGAGCACUCCUCUCCAUUUUAUAGUCUG
rnacentral:lncRNA from 1 species